GUCUCAAUGUGGACGGGAUAAUCCUAUAAUCUGAUAACAACCCACUGUGCAGAUUUGGUGAUUAAAGUUCUGGUGCAAACUAACGCUAGUUGCCAUGGCUGCUGGAUGGAGGAGAAGAGGUGAAUAAAUCUUGGUGUGUGUGUGUGUCUGUGUGUGUGUGUGUGUGUGUCUGUGUGUCUGUGUGUGUGUGGUGAGUCUGUGUGUGUGUGUGUGUGUGUGUGUGAGUCUAUCUUCUUCUGUUGUUUCUGUUCCUAUCCCGAUAAUCCCAAAGUGUUUGUUUUCAUCAUAACAAUAGUAGGUCUUCCUCACAGGAAUUCUGAUUCUGAUUGACUUAAACCACAUUCAGACUGGCUGAUGGAGACGGUUUCUGUAAGGACACUAAUGGGUCCGUAUGGGGUAGACCGUGCCGUUCAUGAAAUAGAAUUUACUGACUGUGAGAAUGGACUGGGGAUCAAAGUGAUUGGAGGAAUGAAGGAGUUAACGGGAGAGGAGUUUGGAGUCUACGUGAAAAGGAUUUUACCUGGUGGCCUUGCUUCAAGUGAUGGACACCUCCAGGCGGGAGACCAGAUCUUGGAGGUGAAUGGGGAGAGUUUACUAGGGGUCACUAGUGAAAGAGCAGUAGACGUUCUGAGAUCAGCGUCCUCGAGCAACCAAAUGCGCCUUCUGAUCGCCAGAGACGAGGAAGCCAGGAGAGAGUUUUCAGAGCUUUUGGAGAAGUAUGGAUCCAGCAGUAGUACUGGGUCGACACGCAACUCUCCCAUCCAGCAUGGCAGAUAUCUGGACAGCACAUCGUCC
ensembl:lncRNA